GGGAACUACGAGCAAAGCUUAAAACCCAAAGGACUUGACGGUACCCCAUAUCCACCUAGAGGAGCCUGUCCUAUAAUCGAUACCCCACGCUAAACCUCACCACCUCUCGCCUAAUCAGCCUGUAUACCUCCGUCGUCAGCUUACCACGUGAGCGCAAUUCAGUGAGCUUAAUGCCCAUACGCCAAUACGUCAGGUCAAGGUGCAGCAAAUGAGGUGGGAAGAGAUGGGCUACACUCUCUAAUAUAGAAAACACAGAAGACUACCUAUGAAAUCUAGUCUAAAGGCGGAUUUAGAAGUAAAAAGGAAAAAGAAUGCCCUUUUUAACUCGGCACUGGGGCGUGUACACACCGCCCGUCACCCUCUUCAAAGCCAUCAAAAAGUAAAUAACCAACUUAUGCAACACAGAAGAGGCAAGUCGUAACAUGGUAAGUAUACCGGAAGGUGUGCUUGGAAACGAAGUGUAGCUUAAAUAAAGCAUUUCGCUUACACCGAAAAAAUAUCUGUUAAACCCGGAUUACUUCGAGCUAAAAAUUUAGCCCCAACCACCCAAAUGCCACACAAAAAUCCCACCACACCAACUAAAACAUUCUUACAUUUUAGUAAAGGCGAUUGAAAAACUACUUG
rnacentral:rRNA from 1 species